GAGGGUAUAGCUCAGUGGUGGAGCACAUGCCUAGCAUGCCCAAGGUCCUGGGUUCAAUCCCUAGUGCCUCCA
rnacentral:tRNA from 1 species